rnacentral:rRNA from 1 species
GAUGAACGCUGGCGGCGUGCCUAAUACAUGCAAGUCGAGCGAACAGACGAGGAGCUUGCUCCUCUGACGUUAGCGGCGGACGGGUGAGUAACACGGGGAUAACCUACCUAUAAGACUGGGAUAACUUCGGGAAACCGGAGCUAAUACCGGAUAAUAUAUUGAACCGCAUGGUUCAAUAGUGAAAGACGGUUUUGCUGUCACUUAUAGAUGGAUCCGCGCCGCAUUAGCUAGUUGGUAAGGUAACGGCUUACCAAGGCAACGAUGCGUAGCCGACCUGAGAGGGUGGUCGGACACACUGGAACUGAGACACGUUCCAGACUCCUACGGGAGGCAGCAGUAGGGAAUCUUCCGCAAUGGGCGAAAGCCUGACGGAGCAACGCCGCGUGAGUGAUGAAGGUCUUCGGAUCGUAAAACUCUGUUAUUAGGGAAGAACAAAUGUGUAAGUAACUAUGCACGUCUUGACGGUACCUAAUCAGAAAGCCACGGCUAACUACGUG